rnacentral:rRNA from 1 species
CCUACGGGCGGCUGCAGUGAGGAAUAUUGGUCAAUGGGCGGGAGCCUGAACCAGCCAAGUCGCGUGAGGGAAGACGGUCCUAUGGAUUGUAAACCUCUUUAGGCGGGGAGCAAUGCCGCGCACGCGUGCCCGGCGGGAGAGUACCCGCAGAAUAAGCAUCGGCUAACUCCGUGCCAGCAGCCGCGGUAAUACGGAGGAUGCGAGCGUUAUCCGGAUUUAUUGGGUUUAAAGGGUGCGUAGGCGGAUUUUUAAGCCAGCGGUAAAAUGUCGGGGCUCAACCCGGGCCGGCCGUUGAAACUGGGUAUCUUGAGUGGGCGAGAAGUAUGCGGAAUGCGUGGUGUAGCGGUGAAAUGCAUAGAUAUCACGCAGAACUCCGAUUGCGAAGGCAGCAUACCGGCGCCCGACUGACGCUGAGGCACGAAAGCGUGGGUAUCGAACAGGAUUAGAUACCCCUGUAGUC